UGAAAACACUCACUCAGAUUGGUUUAAACACCUUUGCUAUAUUGUGCAACUGCCUUGAAAAGCCCCAUCAGCAUUACCAGCCUUUCAUUCGUUCAUCCAUGCUGCAUCACUCAGUGAAGGGACUCACUCUGGCAUACACUGUUUGAACAAGGGAAUCCUUGGCACCGUUCCGAAAUCCAGGGUGUGACUACUGGCAUUCCUUUCCAGGUAAGCUGGUAACAGCCUUUAAUAAUUCCUGUUAUCGAUAGCUGUCAAGAGGAACUUGCUCCAUUUGAUAACCACAAAAAUCCUGUCCUUUGC
rnacentral:lncRNA from 1 species